rnacentral:rRNA from 1 species
AUAUAUGUUAAGUGGAAAAGGAUGUGGCGUUGCCCAGACAACUAGGAUGUUGGCUUAGAAGCAGCCAUCAUUUAAAGAGUGCGUAAUAGCUCACUAGUCGAGUGACACUGCGCCGAAAAUGUACCGGGGCUAAACAUAUUACCGAAGCUGUGGAUUGUCCUUUGGACAAUGGUAGGAGAGCGUUCUAAGGGCGUUGAAGCAUGAUCGUAAGGACAUGUGGAGCGCUUAGAAGUGAGAAUGCCGGUGUGAGUAGCGAAAGACGGGUGAGAAUCCCGUCCACCGAUUGACUAAGGUUUCCAGAGGAAGGCUCGUCCGCUCUGGGUUAGUCGGGUCCUAAGCUGAGGCCGACAGGCGUAGGCGAUGGAUAACAGGUUGAUAUUCCUGUACCACCUAUAAUCGUUUUAAUCGAUGGGGGGACGCAGUAGGAUAGGCGAAGCGUGCGAUUGGAUUGCACGUCUAAGCAGUAAGGCUGAGUAUUAGGCAAAUCCGGUACUCGUUAAGGCUGAGCUGUGAUGGGGAGAAGACAUUGUGUCUUCGAGUCGUUG